rnacentral:rRNA from 1 species
UACGUAGGGACCAAGCGUUGUUCGGAUUUACUGGGCGUAAAGGGCGCGUAGGCGGCGCGGUAAGUCACUUGUGAAAUCUCUGAGCUUAACUCAGAACGGCCAAGUGAUACUGCAGUGCUAGAGUGUGGAAGGGGCAAUCGGAAUUCUUGGUGUAGACGGUGGAAAUGCGUAGAUAUCAGGAAGAACACCCGUGGCGAAGGCGGCUCUCUGGGACGGUACUGACGCUGAGACGCGAAAGCGUGGGGAGCGAACAGG